UACGUAGGGAGCAAGCGUUGUUCGGAUUUACUGGGCGUAAAGGGCGCGUAGGCGGCAAUUCAAGUCAGCUGUGAAAAUCUCCGGGCUUAACUCGGAACGGUCAGCUGAUACUGCUUUGCUAGAGUGACGGGAAGGGGCAAUCGGAAAUUCUCGGUGUAGCGGGUGAAAAUGCGUAGAUAUCGAGAGGAACACCUGAGGUGAAGACGGGUUGCUGGGCCGACACUGACGCUGACAGCGCGAAAGCCAGGGGGAGCAAACGGG
rnacentral:rRNA from 1 species